rnacentral:rRNA from 1 species
ACAAUGGAUAUCUCGGCUCUCACAUCGAUGAAGAACGUAGUGAAAUACGAUACUUGGUGUGAAUUGUAGAAUCCCAUGAAUCAUCGAGUCUUUGAAUGCAAGUUGCACCCGAAGCCAUUAGGCUGAGGGCACGUCUGCUUGGGUGUCACGC